GGGAUCCUGGAUCUUGUCGUCUACAUCACGGCAACCUCGUUGAGACAAGCUUGACGUAUGCUGGAUUCCUGUCGAUGGUAAAAUGAAACAAAGGCUCUUACCCAGGCCCCGAGCAGAGCAGUGACUGUGUAGAAUCCGGGCAUGCGCUUUAGCUCUGAUGAGAGUUGGGAACGAAUCUUGGAUAGGAAAGGCGUGCUUUCUGCGAAAGAAGCAAACGUGUGGUUAUUCUUACCAUGUUCUUACAAUAAAAUUUCUCACUAAAACUUGACGAAUGGAA